UGGUUACAGUAGAGAUUCAACAAGUCAUGUUUUAUUGCUGCGAGUGCUGAGUAGUGUGGUUAUAAUUACUUUAUUUGGCCUGCCGCCUCGUUGGAGCGCGAAGGAUGGAUAACAAAGUUUAAGGGCGCAAGGAGGCAGAGCUGAGCAUGAAUGAGAUGGCUAUACUGUCAUCAACUGCAUCCAAGUUCCGCUGAACAUCGGUCUCAACGUUCAAUCUGUAAUAUUUAGGUGUCCUGCUAGUCAAAAUAAAGCUUUCAUUUGACAUAUAC
rnacentral:lncRNA from 1 species